AUAGCUGGUUUCUCAAUAAAAGAAUUUUAGUCCAACCUAAAGCAACAGAUAUACACAUAAAUUAACCCCUCACUUUAGAGCAAUUCAAAUAAGGUACAGCCUAUUUGAUACAGGACCCAACCUUAAUUAACGGGUAAUACUCGAUUUACAUCAAUAAGUAGGCCUAAGAGCAGCCAUCUUUUUAAAAGCGUCAUAGCUUAAUCAUGUUAUCCUAAUCCCUCAACCCCACUCGACCCCUUUAAUUGUACUGAGAACUUCUAUAAAAUUAUAGAACUUUUUAUGCUAAAACUAGUAACAAGAGGUAAUCCCUCUCUAUAAUGCAAGUAUAACCCAGCAAGAACCCACCACUGGCAACUAACAGACCUAAACAAAAGUAGCAACCCAUCUAGAAAACCCUACUUCUAUUACUGUUAACCUAAUACUAGAGCAUUUCAAGAAAGAUUAAAAGAAAAAGAAGGAAUUCGGCAAAUAUUAGCCCCGCCUGUUUACCAAAAACAUCGCCUCUUGUCAUCAUAAGAGGUCUAGCCUGCCCAGUGACUUCUGUUCAACGGCCGCGGUAUCCUAACCGUGCGAAGGUAGCGUAAUCACUUGUUUCCUAAAUAGAGACCAGUAUGAAAGGCAUCACGAGGACUAAACUGUCUCCUUUCUCUAAUCAGUGAACCUAAUCCCCCCGUGAAGAAGCGGGGAUUUUUUUAUAAGACGAGAAGACCCUAUGGAGCUUAAAACAUCACACACCUGUCACCCUAUUUUUAAAUACCCCGGUAUCUCUCCCCCCCCCCCCCCGACACGCUGACUAUAUGUUUUUGGUUGGGGUGACCGCGGAGAAGAAUUUAUCCUCCACAAUGAAAGGGAUCUUCCCUGAACAGUAAGCUACAACUUUAUGUACCAGUAAACUGACAUCCAUUGACCCAAUAUAUUGAUUAACGAACCAAGUUACCCUAGGGAUAACAGCGCAAUCCACUUUGAGAGCCCCUAUCGACAAGUGGGCUUACGACCUCGAUGUUGGAUCGGGGUAUCCUAGUGGUGCAGCCGCUACUAAAGGUUCGUUUGUUCAACGAUUAAAACCCCACGUGAUCUGAGUUCAGACCGGAGCAAUCCAGGUCAGUUUCUAUCUAUAAUAGAGCUUUUUUUAGUACGAAAGGACCAAAAUAGCAGGGCCAAUGUCAAUACAAGCCAUAGUUAAUUAUUUUUGAACUCCCCCUCAAAAAAUUAUUAACCUACACUCCCCCUCAAGAAAAGAAUA
rnacentral:rRNA from 1 species